CCCCAGGAGCCCCGGGAAAACCUGGGGGAGAAUGGGCAUCCCACCCCAGCACUUUCUAGGAAGAAGGGCAACAUUUUGAAGGGCUGGAAGUAGAGAAAGAAGGUUGCGGGUAGAAGACUCCAUACUUUCUGUGACGCCUAUUCCUUAGCCAGAGGCGUGGCUUGCCUGGGCCUCUGGGUGCAGCUGCACAGACUCAAGCAGCCUGAAGGAAAGGUGACUGACAGUUAAUGAUCUGAAAAGAACUUGUCUCAACUCAACGUCAUUCCUGGCAUUAUCGAACAAAGCAAUAAACCUCACAGAAUGGAAGCUACAGUGUCCAGGGCCAGCUCUGCUAAGGUAACCAAAGACAGAGAAGGAGGCAAAAGUGACAGAAGAAACUCAUGGGAAACCAACAGAAAUAUAAUGGCUUUGGCAGAAAUGCAAUUAUCAAUUGGGAGCUUGUGAUGAAUGUUUUCUCAGUAUCCUAUGCUGAAAACAGGUAGAUACUAAUCCCUCCUUCAAGGGAGGGCUGUUGAGUAUUGAAUAAGAUAAAAACAUGGAAGCAAUCAGCACAAUGCUGGAGAGCUUUUAUAUAACCAAAGAUAUUUUUGGACCAUGAAUUCGGAAAUUCUCGGAGCCACCCAUCAAUGCCUGAGCUUCAGUGAGUCCAUAUCCCAUGUCACCUACGGCAAAGGAGAAUCUGAGACUUCUGAAGAGUUUCUUGCUUCUUUCCUGUGGGGCAGUGACUCCACUUCCCAGCAGUAA
rnacentral:antisense_RNA from 1 species